AGUUGUGCGCGGGAGAGACAAGACAGAACGGUAACACGGCGGACUUUUCGGAAUGUACAACUUUUCUACUGCUGGUUUUACACGGCGUACACGUUUCCACGGUGCUCCAUGAUUGUGAGAGGAAUAAAAGAAUUGUGGACAUCAGUACGAAGCGUGGAUGCUUUCGACCAGAGGCCAGAAACAUCUUAAAGGACACUACCCACCCCGGCUACCAUGUUUUUAACCUACUACCCUCUGGCAGGCGCUUCAGCUCCAUACGGGCCAGAACAAACAGACUCAGGGACAGCUUCUUCCCCAGAGUCAUCACCAUACUCAACUCAAACUUGCACAAAAAGACCCGUCCUAUCCUGGCAAUAAACCGUUCCAACUUCUGCAAUCCGGCAGAAGGUUCAGAUAAUCCAGGCAAGGACAGAGAAUCAAGAGGAGCUUCUAUCUCCAAGCCAUCCGGGCCCUAAACCAUAACAUGAACCUUGAGACCCAGAACUGUGAGCCAUGCAACCACAGCCUGCUGCACCACUGAGGAUUCCAGCUCAUAGCCCGGCCACCAACAGACAGUCUGAUAUGAGCAGUGUGGGGGAGUAAUGGAGUACAUGUACUGACUAGAGAUGGCACGAUACCACUUUUUAAUGCCCAAUACUGAUUCCGAUAUCAUAAACUUGAUAUCUGCCGAUACCGAUAUGAAUCUGAUAUAGCAUAUGUUGUAAUCAGUGAAACUGUUUUUUAUAAAUAUCUUGCUGCAUUUUGUAUAAGUUCAUACUCAAGUUUUAAAAAACAAGAGACUGAAGCUAUUCUGUUAUACCUGUAUGCAAAAAAUACACUCCACCCAAAACAUUUUAUAGUUCAGCAACACUGAUCAAUCUAAUAAAUUUAA